rnacentral:rRNA from 1 species
UACAGAGGGUGCAAGCGUUGUUCGGAAUUAUUGGGCGUAAAGCGCGUGUAGGCGGCUUUGCAAGUUGGGUGUGAAAGCCCUCGGCUCAACCGAGGAAGUGCGCCCGAAACUGCAGAGCUUGAGUACCGGAGAGGAUGGCGGAAUUCCCCAAGUAGAGGUGAAAUUCGUAGAUAUGGGGAGGAACACCGGUGGCGAAGGCGGCCAUCUGGACGGAUACUGACGCUGAGACGCGAAAGCGUGGGGAGCAAACAGG